ACCCUAUGGAGCUUUAAUUAACCAACUCACAUGCAACAGACACAACUCGAUAUGGGAUAAACAAUGCAUUCUGAGCUGGCAAUUUCGGUUGGGGUGACCUCGGAGAAUAGAAAAUCCUCCGAAGCUAACAAGCCUAGACACUACAAGUCAAAGCACCAUACCAAGCAAUUGAUCCAACAAGUUGAUCAAUGGAACCAGUUACCCUAGGGAUAACAGCGCAAUCCUAUUCUAGAGUCCAUAUCGACAAUAGGGUUUACGACCUCGAUGUUGGAUCAGGACAUCCUAAUGGUGCAGCCGCUAUUAACGGUUCGUUUGUUCAACGAUUAA
rnacentral:rRNA from 1 species